CCCUUAGAUGUUCUGGGCUGCACGCGCGCUACACUGAUGCGAUCAACAAGUUUUUCCUAUGUCGAUAGGCACGGGUAAUCUUUUGAACUCGCAUCGUGAUGGGGAUAGAUUAUUGUAAUUAUUAAUCUUCAACGAGGAAUUCCUAGUAGGUGCAAAUCAUCAGUUUGCAUCGAUUACGUCCCUGCCCUUUGUACACACCGCCCGUCGCUGCUACCGAUUGGUUGAUCUGGUGAAUUAUUCGGACUGCCGGCUGAAGGGGUUUCCUCAUCUGCCAGCGGAAAGUCUUGUUAACCCUAUCAACUAGAGGAAGCAGGAGUCGUAACA
rnacentral:rRNA from 1 species